rnacentral:miRNA from 1 species
AUGAGAUGAAGUCAAUGUUUGGAC